GAUGAACGCUGGCGGCGUGCCUAAUACAUGCAAGUCGAGCGGACGGACGAUAAGCUUGCUUUUCUGAUGUUAGGGGCGGACGGGUGAGUAACACGUGUAUAACCCACUUAUAAGACUGGGAAAAUUUCGGGAAACCGGAGCUAAUACCGUAUAAUAUUUUGAACCGCAUGGUUGAAAAGUGAAAGACGGUCGUGCUGGCACUUAUAGAUGGAUCUGAGCUGCUUUAGCUAGUUGGUAAGUUACCGGCUUAUCAAGGGAACGAUGCAUAGGCGACGUGAGAGGGUGAUAGGCGACCCUGGAACGUGACCACGGUCCUGAGUCCUGCGAGAGGCACCAGACGCGUACCGUCCGCAGUGGGCGAAAGCCUGGCAGAGCGGCGCCACGUGGGUGAUGACGGCCUUCGGAUCGUAAAACUGUGUUACUAGUGAAAAACAUAUGUGUAAGGAACUGUGCAGAUCUUGACGGUACCUAAUCAAGAAGCCCCGGCUAACUACGUG
rnacentral:rRNA from 1 species